ACCCGAUAGUGUCGUUGAAAUGUCAGUUUUUCCGGAAAAACUACAACAUUAAUUACUGUUUUAUUAAUUUAUAGCACACACGUAAGAUAGGAAUCGUUUUCCGAGAUCGGUAACGCGAAACCACUUCCAUUUAGCCCCUCGAACUGUGGGUCUAAUUGCGUGUUUAGCAUCUCGCUCUCUCUCUACCCCAAGACUUAUUAACCAAACUGAGACACACAUGUAUUAAAGUGAUGAUGUAAACUUCAAGUGGCGAUUUUAUCAGAAGUGGAAAGGGUGCCAAAAUGGAUGAGUAUAGUCCCAAACCUCCUCCCCUACCCAGGAGGAUUGUGAGGAACAUAUAUGCAGAGCCUUUUAGUCACGAGACAGUAAGACUUCCCUCGGGUUUGCAACAGACCCAAAUUGCCCAGCAGAUCCCGAGCGGCGGUAACACGAUUCAAAACAACACCCACUGUCAACAGUCACAGGCGCCCCUUGUCAUGCCCGUUUUUCCUUUACGACCUCCGGUAGCUCCCACCCACGCUCCUCAUUAUUCCCCCUAUUCCCCGUCUAGAUUCCACAUAGAUAAACAGUGUCAUCAUCGAUGCACGUGGAAAUGUUUCAGUAUCGCCUUGAUACUAAUAGCUGUUAUUCUGUCAGGAAUGCUCGCUUAUUUUGCAGCCGUCAGUUCUGCGAAACCCAGUAUGGACGCAUCUAGCUGCAUAUUGGUCCAGGACGUCAAAGAUGUUACUAACGACCAAAUUACACAGGGAUCGAUCUCUUCUCAACUUCCCACUGAAGAAUCUUUGCCAACGAGCACAGCUGAGCAUUCGAGCGUGACGACAAACGUGGCAUUACAACAACAGCCGCAACAACAGAGUCAGUCGCAGCCGCAGUGGCCGCCACUGCUCGAGCUCCGGGAUUUCGACGUGCUCCACACCACCACCAUUCCACCUUAUCAGUUCUGGAACUCGGAAUUCCGCAACAAGCAGCCCGCAUUCAUCCGGUUCAAUUUCACGCUGCCGUGGGGCGCCAACUUCGCCGUCUAUGGACGGAGGAACGUGGUGCCCAGCGUCACGCAGUACGACUUCGUCGAAUUCGUCAAAGGUGGAAGGGUCGAUCAUCGGUUAAGGAAAAGGGACGUUGUCACGAAGCAUGAGCUUAAAAGGAGCAAAUCCAACUUUAAAAUAAACGACAGAAAUAAUAAAGACAUACUGGAUGUUAUUUCGAGUUCCUAUGAAGCUACCAGGAAGAUCCUCUCCGAUUCUGAAAGUGCACAGAUUCCAAUUUUUAUUCCUCGAAAUGUACGACUGAAUGCGACAGAAAUUGAACCAACGGAUUUACCGCGACCAACGGUUAAUCUUGGAGUCACUCUUGACGCGCACAUUAUUUCAAAAAGAGAAACAGAACUGGAAGCUAUGAUGGUGAACGUGAGUUUACUUCAAUACCUUGACACGGGUCGUUGGUUUCUUUCGGUUUACAACGACGAACUUCGACCCCACAGCGUUUCCAUGGUAAUUUCGGAAGCGGAAGAUGUAACGACAACUUGCCCAAACGACUGUUCGGGCAGAGGAUCGUGCUAUCUUGGCAAAUGCGAGUGUGUGGACGGCUUCCAGGGAAUUGACUGCUCAAAAAGUGUUUGCCCGGUCUUAUGUUCAGCGCACGGCCAAUACGGCGGCGGCAUUUGCCACUGUGAAGAGGGAUGGAAAGGGCCGGAAUGCGACGUACCGGAGGCCGAAUGUCGUGUGCCUGCCUGUUCCGGAAACGGCCUUUGUGUAAGCGGAAGUUGCCAAUGCAAAAAGGGCUGGAAAGGAGACGCUUGUGACGAGCCGGACUGCGAAGACCCAACUUGUUCGAACCACGGAGCGUGUGUCCACGGCCAGUGCUAUUGCAAAGCGGGGUGGAAGGGUGGCCGUUGUCACCUAAUUGACGAACAAGUCCACAAGUGUCUCCCCAGCUGCUCGGACCACGGGGUCUACGACCUGGAGUCCGCCAAAUGCGUCUGUAAUAGACACUGGACCGGACCUGAUUGCUCACAAGCCCUUUGUAAUUUGGACUGCGGCCCGAACGGCAUUUGCGACAGCGGAAAAUGCCAAUGUAAUCCUGGUUGGACAGGCUCUCGAUGUGAUCAACUGCCUUGUGAUCCUCGUUGUCAAGAGCAUGGCCAAUGCCGCAACGGCACCUGCGUCUGUUCCCAAGGAUGGAAUGGGAAACACUGUACCUUGCCGGGUUGUGAAAACGGCUGUUCUGGCCAUGGCCAGUGUAACUUGGAAGAGGGUGUUUACCUCUGCGUCUGUAUCAAGGGAUGGGCUGGUUCUGAUUGUAGCAUUCCCUUAGAAACCGAAUGCAACGAUGAUAUUGACAACGAUUUCGACGGGAUGGCUGAUUGUUUCGACAGCGAAUGCUGUUCUCAUGCCAGUUGUGCAGAUCACAUAAUGUGCUUGGCUAGCAACGAUCCUGUCGAAGUUCUCCUGCGGAAGCAGCCGCCUUCGGUUACUGCUUCCUUUUACCAGCGCGUCAAGUUUCUGAUCGAAGAGAACUCGGUUCAGUCGUACGCUCACAUGGACGAAUACACGGAAAGCGAGUUCUGGAAUUCCUUUACACCGCGUCGAGUAGCCGUCAUGCGAGGACAAGUGGUGACACCCCAAGGACUGGGAAUCGUGGGAAUAAGAGUCUCGGUCGACAAGGAAUCCCGAUUAGGAUUUACGCUUACUCGUCAAGGGGGGUGGUUUGAUGUAUUGGUUAAUGGUGGAGGAGCAGUGACAUUACAGUUUCAAAGAUCACCUUUUCGACCCCUCACCAGGACCGUGUUUGUUCCUUGGAAUCAAAUUGUAGUUUUACCCCCAGUACAUAUGGAGUUAAUGGAAGAUGCUAAAGUUGAGCAAUCACACACAAGCUUCCUUGCUCGCAAUCCGGCUAUAAUGUUUCAAGGAGUUUCAAGACCAUUUUUUCAUUUCAAUGGAGAUGUGCCAGUAACAUGUCCUGAUCACGACCUUGAAUUAUUAAAACCAAUAAUAACUGGCACAUGGAUCCCAGAAGCUGUUGGUGGUUUUCCUGGCAAAAGUAUAAUAUUUGCUGAAAACCAGGUGGUCCAAGAGUCCAUAUCGAUACCUGGCUCAGAUCUUCAUUUGAUGUAUCGAUCAUCUCAAGCAGCAGGAUUUUUUAGCACCAUUCACAUGAAACUAACAGAUGAUAGUAUACCAAAUACUUUAACCCAUAUACAUGUAAGAGUAGAAGUGGAAGGGUCUCUGCAUGUCAAAACAUACGAAGCUGAUCCAAAUUUAACACAUAUUUUUGCUUGGAAUAAAAGAAAUGUGUAUAAACAGAAAGUAUAUGGUCUGGCUCAGGCUAAGGUUUCAAUUGGGUAUCAACACUCCACCUGUAUUGAGCCAGUAUGGGAAACUCAAACAGCUGCAUUACAAGGUUUUGAAGUUGAUAUAUCUGAUAUCGGAGGCUGGGGUUUGGAUAUUCAUCAUCAUUACAAUUUCCAUGAAGGAAUUCUGCAGAAAGGGGAUGGUUCCACAGUACAUCUGAAGGAGUAUCCUAGAACUGUAGAAGUUGUAAUGGGCACUGGAGCUCAAAGAACGCUAGAAUGUCCUGGUCAGUGUGGAGGUUCAGCAAAAGAUGCAAAAUUAUUAACGCCCGUUGCUCUUGCAAGCGGUCCGGAUGGAAGUUUGUAUGUUGGGGACUUUAACUUAGUGCGAAGAAUCAAUCCAGAGGGAGGUGUUUAUACUGUUUUACAAUUAAGAGCAACGCAGGUAUCUUACCAAUAUUAUUUGGCUGUUUCACCUGCUGACGGGCGAUUGUAUAUCUCUGACCCUGAAAAACAUCAAAUUUUGAGAAUAAUUACUUUAGAUCCUACUGCUGAUCCAACUGUGAACAGCGAACCGGUUGUUGGGAGUGGUGAAAGAUGUAUACCUGGAGAUGAAAGUCAGUGUGGUGAUGAAGGUCCUGCCAAACACGCACGCUUAGCUCAUCCAAAAGGAAUAGCGAUUGCUGCAGAUAGGACAAUGUAUAUCGCCGAUGGUACUAACAUAAGAGGGGUAGAUCCCAGAGGUAUAAUUCACACAUUGGUAGGAAAUCAUGAAUACCAAAACCAAUGGAUGCCUACUCCAUGUGCAGGGGCUGUUAUUGCCUCCCAAGCUCAAUUACAGUGGCCUACCGGAUUAGCUUUAAGUCCUCUAGAUGGCGCUUUACAUAUAGUUGAUGACCGUCUCGUACUUGAACUGACGCAAGAUAUGAAAAUUAGAGUUGUAGCAGGAAUUCCCUUGCACUGCAGGUCCACAGACAACUCAUCUUCUUCAUAUGAAAACGAUAGCGUUCUAGGAACAAUUUUAUCUCUUUCUUUUGCGCCGAAUGGCGACUUAUAUAUUGCUGAAAGCGAUACACGCAAGAGUAACGUUAUUAAACUUAUUAAAACAUCAGGACAAGUUAUACACUUUGCUGGGAAAGUGCAUAAUAAAUUAGAUAGUAGUUGUGCUUGUAACAAUAGUCGUUCCAUUAAAAAGGCCAAAAUAUUUUCAGGCUGUCCGUGUUCAGUCAAUAACAACAACGUUAACUUCUCUAAAACGCUGCUUUCGAGUGAUGCCAAAUUUCAAGCAAUAUCUGCUAUAACAGUAUCACCCAAUGGAGUUUUAAAUAUUGCAGAUCAGGGUUCUCUACGAAUUUUAAUGUUACAGCAUUAUUUGCCAACGCAUGAUGAAAACGGAGAGUUUCAGAUUCCUUACCCAUCUCAAGGGGAAGUUUAUGUCUUUAAUAGAUACGGUCAACAUGUUGCAACAAGAGAUCUUACAUCAGGAAAAACUCGAUAUUCCUUCCUCUACUCAAAAAAUACCAGCUUUGGAAAGUUGUCUACUGUUACCGAUAGCUCUGGCAACAAAAUUCAAUUUUUGAGGGAUUACAGUAACGCUGUAAGUUCAAUUGAAAAUACUCAAGAUCACAAAUCGGAAUUAAAAAUAUCCGGAGUCGGAUAUUUGGAAAAAUUGUCAGUCAAGGGAAGAUCUGAAAUUCAAUUGGAUUAUGAUAUGAACACAGGGCUUUUAGUGAGCCGAUCGGGUGGCGGAGAAACUUGUAUUUACCAAUAUGAUUGGAUUGGAAGGGUAAUCAGCAUUACUUUGCCAAGUGGAGAAAUCUUCAGUUUACGGUCGAGUCUCUCAGGCACUGAGGGACUUGCAACAUCAGUUAGCAACCCUCCGUUGGUUUUAACAUACAGUGAAAAAAUUAACAAACAAGUUGUAAUUUCAAAUGAUUUAGAAACAAUGAAGUCCAUUAUAUAUAAAAAUUCAACCCUUCUUGUCAGCGCUGCCUGGGGAGGGAAAAUACGAAUGUCUGCUAUUGAAAGACAUCCAUUACUUGAACCCACAUUACCAGUUGAAACUCAGAUGUUACCAAUUUGGUCAGAUCAAAUAAGUAUCUUUGGAGAGGACAUUAUAAAUCAUCAGUAUACGAAAUAUUCAUUAGCUGGUGACGCUAAACUUCCUCAACAAAAACUAAGAACUGAAAUAUUCGUUAACAAUUCUCGAGUGUUUGCAAUUGAAUUUGACCAAUUUACAAGCAGGGAAUCGUUUUUCGACUGUAACGGUCAUCUUCUGUUGUCAAUCACAUUUGAUCCCGCCGGUUUACCUCAAGCAUACAUACCAGCAACGAAUGCUUUACCUGUCAAUAUCAGCUACGACGGAUUUAAUCGUAUCGACGGAUGGAAAUGGGGUCGAUCGGAAUUAAAAUACAGUUACGAUCGUCACGGAUUACUAUCAGAAGUAACUAGUUCUCAAGACGGUACGCAAAUGUUUACUUAUAAUGACUGGAAUGUACUUUCCAAAAUAACAUUAGCUAGUCAAAGAAGUUUUCUAUUAACUUACGACGAUGAUGGUGGUCUAAGAUAUGUUACGUUACCAAGCGGAACUAAACACAUAUUCAGUCUUCAGCCUUCACUGGGAUUCCUGCGAGCUACAUACACUCCUCCGGGAAGUAACAAAUCAUAUCUGCAACAUUUUUCACAUUCUGGACUACUUUUACAAACGGUUUUCCCGGGCGAUGGAGCAAGAGUCGUAUAUAGGUACACACCUUUGGGUCGAAUCAAAGAAGUUGUCAGAGGAGAUGGUAAAACCACAUAUAGUUACUCUCCAGAAACUGGUUUACCGGUACAAGUAGUAAAUGUAGAGGCAGAAUUAGAAUAUUUUUGGGACUACCAGUUUAUUGGCGGAUUACUAAUGGAAGAAAGGUUGACUUUUACAGCCAAAUCUGGAUUAAGCAAUGCCAAAUUUACAUAUGACUAUGAUAGCAACUACAGGGUCACAUCUAUUCAAGGUCGUAUAGGUGGUCAAAAUCUCCCUCCAUACAAUUUAGCCUACAACAUUAAAACUGGCUCCUUGCAAAUUAUUGGCACAUUCACAGUCGACAAUCCUGCUAUAAAUCAGACUAAUGUUUACGACGGUACAGCCUUAUUUUCUAGAAAAAUAGACUCUCAUUUCCUUGAAAAGCAAAUCUCCUUAACAAUACAUGGAAUGGAGGUUUUUAGAAUGGAAUUUAAUCAUGAUAUGCACGGGCGAAUAUCUCAAACACGCACAUACACGAAAAAUGUUGGGGUAAACACGUAUACGAAUAUUAAAAACUACACAUGGGAUUGCGAUGGACAAUUGUCAGGCGUAGAAGCUCAAGAACCAUGGGGAUUUAGAUACGAUGAUAAUGGAAAUAUGUUGUCUCUAACAUACAGAGGUAACACCAUUCCAAUGGAAUACAAUACAAUGGAUCGGAUAAUAAAGUUUGGGGAAGGUCAGUAUAAAUAUGAUAAUAGAGGGUCAGUUGUACAAAAUGCGAGAGAGGAAAAAUUCCAUUACAACGCCAAAGGUUUACUUGUCAGAGCAACUAAAAGGGGAAGAUUUGAUGUAAAGUAUUUUUAUGAUCACUUAGACAGACUAAUAACUCGAAAGGAUAAUUACGGUAACGUUACUCAGUUUUUCUAUAACAACCAACAAAUUCCUGGAGAAGUUACUCAAAUUUAUUCUCCGCGUGAUGGUAAACUAAUAUCGUUAGUGUAUGACGACAGAGGACAUUUAGUAUACGCACAGGUGUACAGACACAAGUAUUAUAUAGCCACUGAUCAAUGCGGCACACCUGUGAUGAUUUUCAAUCAAUAUGGCGAGGGUAUAAGAGAAAUCAUGCGUUCGCCUUAUGGGCAUAUUGUUUACGAUUCCAAUCCAUAUCUUUAUUUGCCUGUUGAUUUUUGUGGUGGAAUCCUUGACCAGGUAACAUCUCUUGUGCACAUGCCGAACGGUAAAGUGUAUGAUCCCCUUAUUGGACAAUGGAUGUCACCUAUAUGGGAAAAUGUACUUGAUCGUGUAGCUACUCCCACACAUUUACAUUUAUACAGAUUUAAUGGAAAUGACCCAAUUAAUGUACGUCACAAUCGCAAUCCCCCAAUCGAUCACUUAAGUUGGCUAAAAAUAAUGGGCUUCAAUUUCAAGAAUUUAGCUCCUCAGUUAUAUCCUGAUGAGCUUCCUGGAGGACGAAUACCUCCAUUACUUUCCGAAACAUCGGUGUUUUGGAGUAACUUUAGAAACUCGAUAAAAAGUCAAUUAACACGUCACACUUCACCUAAUAAUAUCGAAUCUGGAAUAUUAGCUCAUAUAUUUACAAGGAGAAUGACCGAUAGCAAAACAUUAUCGGUUCCUCCAAAAUCAGCUCUUAAAACGGAUGUAAUGAAUCUUAUUCCUGAAAAAAUUGGAGCUGCUUCUGAUCCUCCGUUCGGUAAAGGAAUCCUGGUGUCUAGAUCCUCUGAAGGACGAGCUAUAGUAUCCAGUGUUCCCGCAGCGAAUGCCAUAUACAGAGACGUUUAUACUUCCGUAUUUAAUAGAUCUUAUCUCCUUCCGUUUACUUUUGUGGUUCAUAGCGCACAACAGGAUGCUUUCUACUUUGUAAAAGAAGAAACCUGGAAAAUUAACGACGAUAAAGGUCAACUAAAGCGACUCCAAGGCCAAGUAAACACAACGUUUCAUGAAAUUGCGAAAGAAAACGGAAGUGGAAAUAACUAUUUCGACGUAAAAAUCCAUGGUCUAAAUACCGUUAUAAAUUUGCGUUACGGAACAACAUUGGAAAAAGAAAAACAAAGGUUACUUCAUCAUGCCAAACUGCAGGCUAUUAGAAAAGCUUGGCAUAGGGAGAAAGAAACUAUUAAGAAUGGUUUUCAGGGAAGUAUAGAAUGGACUGCCAAUGAAAUCGAAGAGUUAAUGAAAAACAACAACAUAGCAACUUACGAAGCUGAAUAUAUUCAUAAUAUAGGUCACUAUCCAGAGCUUGCUGAAGAUCCAUACAACAUCAAAUUCUUUAAAAAACAAAUCGGAAAUUCCGAUAAACGCAGGAAAAAACGAACAACUAUCAAAAAUAAAACCCAAAGCUGGUGGUUUCCUUGGCAAAAAUUAAUUUGCUAGUGACCUCAUGAGACUAACCUUGAACGGUUUUAAAAGAAAAGAGAAAAACCUAUUUUCAAUUACUAAGUGUGAUGUACCAAAAAAUGUGUUAUUCACACGCGUAAUAUAUGUGAUUUUCGUCUGGUGCAAAUAUUUAAUUACUCUAUAUUUAACUCGUAAGUGAUACUGACUGAUUAUAUUAAGAAUUUGCAUCAGACACCCUGUAAAUAUUUUAUACGGUGACAGUGAGUGCUGUAUGCAGAGAAAAAGAAAAGAAAAAUUCCUGUAGAGCUUAUUAUAGCUACAAUAAAACAGUAACGCACUUUACUGUGGACACAGGUGUGAUUAAAUUUUAGAAUAUCAAAAGACGUUGUAAAUAUAGUCCAGUUAUUAAAUUUUUAAUGAUUUUAA
rnacentral:misc_RNA from 1 species